rnacentral:misc_RNA from 1 species
UUUUGCAGCCUUUCCUCUAAGCAAGACCUUUCCUUUGGCUCUGGCACAGGCUUUAGCCUGUGGUGCCGCUGGUGCAUUCUUAGUCUCAAGAAUCAUCCACAAACAGCUCGGUCAUCUCCUUGCGAAAGCUACUUCAACGCAAUCUGAGCCACAGGAGAGUAGUACCAUCCGUAACAAAAAUAUUGGAUUUCUCUCUGACUUUGCAGGACCGAAGGGUACCCAAUUGGAGUUAGUUUAUGGGGUUUUUGGAUACAUGCAAGUACUCUCAGCCUGCUUCAUGUCAUUUGCCCAUGGUGGAAAUGAUGUAUCCAAUGCAAUAGGUCCUUUGGCUGCUGCACUGUCUAUCAUUCAUGGUGGUGCCAGUGGAGCAGAAAUUGUUAUUCCAACUGAUGUUCUUGCAUGGGGAGGAUUCGGAAUAGUUGCAGGGCUGACCAUGUGGGGUUAUAGAGUGAUAGCAACAAUUGGAAAGAAGAUCACCGAACUUACACCAACUAGAGGAUUUGCAGCCGAGUUUGCUGCAGCUUCUGUGGUUCUAUUUGCGUCGAAGCUGGGUCUACCUAUUUCAGCAACGCACACUUUGGUGGGUGCAGUCAUGGGGGUAGGGUUUGCGAGGGGGCUAAACAGUGUUAGAGCAGGGACUGUGAGAGAGAUUGUGGCUUCAUGGCUUGUGACAAUUCCAGCUGGUGCUGGGUUCUCAGUUGCCU